UACCAGACUCCUACGGGAGGCAGCAGUGGGGAAUAUUGGGCAAUGGGCGCAAGCCUGACCCAGCAACGCCGCGUGCAGGAUGAAGGCCUUCGGGUUGUAAACUGCUUUUAUAAGCGAGAAAUAUGAUGGUAACUUAUGAAUAAGGAUCGGCUAACUACGUGCCAGCAGCCGCGGUAAUACGUAGGGGGCGAGCGUUAUCCGGAUUCACUGGGUGUAAAGGGAGCGUAGACGGCCAUGCAAGCCAGGGGUGAAAGCCCGGGGCCCAACCCCGGGACUGCCCUUGGAACUGCAUGGCUGGAGUGCGGGAGGGGCAGGCGGAAUUCCUGGUGUAGCGGUGAAAUGCGUAGAUAUCAGGAGGAACACCGGCGGCGAAGGCGGCCUGCUGGACCGCGACUGACGUUGAGGCUCGAAAGCGUGGGGAGCGAACAGGAUUAGAUACCCUCGUAA
rnacentral:rRNA from 1 species